rnacentral:hammerhead_ribozyme from 1 species
GCACUGCUGUGGAGUCCCACAAUAGGACGAAAUGGCCGUCCAGUGC